rnacentral:rRNA from 1 species
UACGUAGGGUGCGAGCGUUAAUCGGAAUUACUGGGCGUAAAGCGUGCGCAGGCGGUUUUGUAAGCCAGAUGUGAAAUCCCCGGGCUCAACCUGGGAAUGGCAUUUGGGACUGCAAGGCUGGAGUGCGGCAGAGGAGACUGGAAUUCCUGGUGUAGCAGUGAAAUGCGUAGAUAUCAGGAGGAAUACCGAUGGCGAAGGCAGGGCUCUGGGCUGACACUGACGCUCAUGCACGAAAGCGUGGGGAGCAAACAGG